AACGCACAUUGCGCCCGCCAGUACUCUGGCGGGCAUGCCUGUUCGAGCGUCAUUUCAACCCUCAGGCCCCCGGGCCUGGUGUUGGGGACCGGCUCACGGGGGGGAGGCACAGCGCCCUCCCCCCCCUGCCGCCCCCUAAAUGGAUCGGCGGCCACGCCGCGGCCUCCCCUGCGCAGUAACAUACCACCUCGCAGGCGGCUGGCUCGGCGCGGCCACUGCCGUAAAACGCCCAACUUCUCCAGAGUUGACCUCGAAUCAGGUAGGAAUACCCGCUGAACUUAA
rnacentral:misc_RNA from 1 species